CUCCCUGACCAGCAUGACCAUGAGUAACAGCGGAUGCAGAGGACAAGCUCGAGGAUGGCGAUUCAGAGGAGCAGGGAGAUACAAGAAGAAAUAAUGCAAGAUGAGUCAUUUUGUUCAUUACGAUAAAUCUACGAAGUGGAAGAAAAUGAGCAUGCCACUAAUAUUUCGAUCUUUUGAGGGCCAAGAUCUCAAGCAUGAAGUUCAUUUACUAUAAAGCUGGGCUAGGUUUCCCCACUUAUUGCCGCAACUUCACAUUGGACAUCACAAGGAUGGGUGAAGCCACGAAUCCUGAUUGAAGACCGGAAGAUGAUGAUGAUAACAAGAGCUCGAUGGAGGUGUGCAGUCCUAUUGAAGAUGGCCAAGUUCAGAUCCAAAGGCGAUGUAUUCCAUCCAGUGCCUGUGGCCGGGGAUCGCAUCCAGCCUGUGCGAUCUGUGUGGAGAACGCACCCUGUGGCCAACAAAAUCCUCUUAUAUAGGCAAUGGAAAAAGGCGGGAGGUGAGUCGCAGAAAGAAAAAUUGGCGCCAAUGUGGUUGUUCAGGAAAGGGCGGAGGCGGAGAUGGACAGUUGCGAUCUGUAUUUGUUAACCGCGUUUGUGGAAAAACGACUAAUACUCGUUUUCCCACAAACCUGGAAUUCUGGGCCUUUGUGAAACGAGUUUCCUAUAUGCAUGGGUUAGUUGGAGGAGCCAAA